ensembl:lncRNA
CAGCUGUCAGCAGCUGUCAGCACAGCAGUGGAAGGAUGAUGAUCUGUGUGGACCAUGAACUGUAUACCAAAGUAGUCAGUGUGAGGCCGUCUGUCCCACGGCUAAACUGGGUCAUCAACAGGACAAUGAUCCAAGCACAGCAGCAGACUCUCCAACACAAUGGCUGAAAAAGGAAAGAAUGGAGCUGCUGCAGAGGUCUGAUGCUGGGGUCGGACCUCCAGACAGCUCUGCAUAUCUCAGCUAAGGCUUGUGACAGAGCUGUCGAGUUUGUUAGUCACGUGUCAUAACGAAUGUGUCGACAUUUUGUAAAGGUUAAAUCAACAGCAUACAACAUUUUUGUGAAUGUUUUUAUGUUGUCAUAUAAUACGCUUUAUUGUUUAUUCUCUAUUAGAACACCUUACUGUGAAAAAUGAUUAUUUUAUGUUGCUUUGUACAGAUCUCACAGCAUCGUUGGUGCACCUGUGUCCAAUAAAUGCAGGAUUUCCUCACAAACCGGCCCCAGACUGUGAGACUCGGCCCUCAUCUCUCCUCCACUCGCACACUGAGCACCGGCUCCCCACAGGGCUGUGUGCUGAGCCCCCUCCUGUAUUCUCUCUACACCCACGACUGCAGUCCGACCCACAACAACACUCUCAUCAUCAAGUUUGCUGAUGACACCACGGUAGUCGGACUCAUCUCAAAGGGAGACGAGGCAGAGUACAGAGAGGAAGUCCUGAAGUUGGCAGCCUGGUGUUCAGAGAACAACCUGGCACUGAACACCAAGAAAACCAAAGAGCUCAUUGUUGACUUCAGGAGACACAACACCGACUUGGCCCCCCUCUACAUCAACGGGGAGUGUGUGGAGAGGGUCCACACCUUCCGGUUCCUUGGUGUCCUCAUCUCUGCUGACAUCUCCUGGACGGAAAACAUCUCAGCGGUCAUCAAGAAGGCCCAACAGCGACUGCACUUCCUGAGAGUCCUCAGGAAGUACAAGCUGAACUCCAACCUGCUGCUGACCUUCUACCGCUCGUCCAUUGAGAGCCUGCUAACCUACUGCAUCAUGGUAUGGUACGGCAGCUGCACCAAGGCAGAUAGAGUGAGGCUUCAGAGUGUGGUCAAGACAGCACAAAAGAUCAUCGGCUGCCCUCUCCCUCCCUGAUGGACAUUUAUUCCUCCCGCUGCCUCAGCAGAGCAGCAAACAUCAUCAAGGACAGCUCCCACCCUGGCUUCAACAUGUUCAGCCUGCUUCCCUCAGGGCAGCGCUACAGGUGCAUCAGCACAAAAACCCACAGACUCAAAAACAGUUUCUUCCCCAAAGCGAUAACCACCCUGAACUCACACAUGCACCGAUAACACAGCCCCCCACUUCCCACUUCCUCUAUGGACCACCACUAUUUAUACCAAUUCCAUGUGCAAUAACUCAACUGUACAUACAUAACACUAUUUAUUACAUAUUACUUACGGCUUGUAAAUUGUACAUUUUAUAUAUAUAUACACAUCUUCUUCCAUAUGUUAAUACUGUCCAUAUGUAUAUAGCGCUGCAGAACUGUACCCCC